rnacentral:rRNA from 1 species
UUAAGUUAUUAAGGGCGCACGGUGGAUGCCUUGGCACUAGAAGCCGAUGAAGGACGUUACUAACGACGAUAUGCUUUGGGGAGCUGUAAGUAAGCUUUGAUCCAGAGAUUUCCGAAUGGGGAAACCCAGCAUGAGUUAUGUCAUGUUAUCGAUAUGUGAAUACAUAGCAUAUCAGAAGGCACACCCGGAGAACUGAAACAUCUUAGUACCCGGAGGAAGAGAAAGAAAAUUCGAUUCCCUUAGUAGCGGCGAGCGAAACGGGAAGAGCCCAAACCAACAAGCUUGCUUGUUGGGGUUGUAGGACACUCUAUACGGAGUUACAAAGGACGACAUUAGACGAAUCAUCUGGAAAGAUGAAUCAAAGAAGGUAAUAAUCCUGUAGUCGAAAAUGUUGUCUCUCUUGAGUGGAUCCUGAGUACGACGGAGCACGUGAAAUUCCGUCGGAAUCUGGGAGGACCAUCUCCUAAGGCUAAAUACUCUCUAGUGACCGAUAGUGAACCAGUACCGUGAGGGAAAGGUGAAAAGCACCCCGGAAGGGGAGUGAAAUAGAACCUGAAACCGUGUGCUUACAAGUAGUCAGAGCCCGUUAAUGGGUGAUGGCGUGCCUUUUGUAGAAUGAACCGGCGAGUUACGAUUUGAUGCAAGGUUAAGCAGUAAAUGUGGAGCCGUAGCGAAAGCGAGUCUGAAUAGGGCGUUUAGUAUUUGGUCGUAGACCCGAAACCAGGUGAUCUACCCUUGGUCAGGUUGAAGUUCAGGUAACACUGAAUGGAGGACCGAACCGACUUACGUUGAAAAGUGAGCGGAUGAACUGAGGGUAGCGGAGAAAUUCCAAUCGAACCUGGAGAUAGCUGGUUCUCUCCGAAAUAGCUUUAGGGCUAGCCUCAAGUGAUGAUUAUUGGAGGUAGAGCACUGUUUGGACGAGGGGCCCCUCUCGGGUUACCGAAUUCAGACAAACUCCGAAUGCCAAUUAAUUUAACUUGGGAGUCAGAACAUGGGUGAUAAGGUCCGUGUUCGAAAGGGAAACAGCCCAGACCACCAGCUAAGGUCCCAAAAUAUAUGUUAAGUGGAAAAGGAUGUGGCGUUGCCCAGACAACUAGGAUGUUGGCUUAGAAGCAGCCAUCAUUUAAAGAGUGCGUAAUAGCUCACUAGUCGAGUGACACUGCGCCGAAAAUGUACCGGGGCUAAACAUAUUACCGAAGCUGUGGAUUGUCCUUUGGACAAUGGUAGGAGAGCGUUCUAAGGGCGUUGAAGCAUGAUCGUAAGGACAUGUGGAGCGCUUAGAAGUGAGAAUGCCGGUGUGAGUAGCGAAAGACGGGUGAGAAUCCCGUCCACCGAUUGACUAAGGUUUCCAGAGGAAGGCUCGUCCGCUCUGGGUUAGUCGGGUCCUAAGCUGAGGCCGACAGGCGUAGGCGAUGGAUAACAGGUUGAUAUUCCUGUACCACCUAUAAUCGUUUUAAUCGAUGGGGGGACGCAGUAGGAUAGGCGAAGCGUGCGAUUGGAUUGCACGUCUAAGCAGUAAGGCUGAGUAUUAGGCAAAUCCGGUACUCGUUAAGGCUGAGCUGUGAUGGGGAGAAGACAUUGUGUCUUCGAGUCGUUGAUUUCACACUGCCGAGAAAAGCCUCUAGAUAGAAAAUAGGUGCCCGUACCGCAAACCGACACAGGUAGUCAAGAUGAGAAUUCUAAGGUGAGCGAGCGAACUCUCGUUAAGGAACUCGGCAAAAUGACCCCGUAACUUCGGGAGAAGGGGUGCUCUUUAGGGUUAACGCCCAGAAGAGCCGCAGUGAAUAGGCCCAAGCGACUGUUUAUCAAAAACACAGGUCUCUGCUAAACCGUAAGGUGAUGUAUAGGGGCUGACGCCUGCCCGGUGCUGGAAGGUUAAGAGGAGUGGUUAGCUUCUGCGAAGCUACGAAUCGAAGCCCCAGUAAACGGCGGCCGUAACUAUAACGGUCCUAAGGUAGCGAAAUUCCUUGUCGGGUAAGUUCCGACCCGCACGAAAGGCGUAACGAUUUGGGCACUGUCUCAACGAGAGACUCGGUGAAAUCAUAGUACCUGUGAAGAUGCAGGUUACCCGCGACAGGACGGAAAGACCCCGUGGAGCUUUACUGUAGCCUGAUAUUGAAAUUCGGCACAGCUUGUACAGGAUAGGUAGGAGCCUUUGAAACGUGAGCGCUAGCUUACGUGGAGGCGCUGGUGGGAUACUACCCUAGCUGUGUUGGCUUUCUAACCCGCACNNNNNNNNNNNNNNNNNNNNNNNNNNNNNNNNNNNNNNNNNNNNNNACUUAUCGUGGUGGGAGACAGUGUCAGGCGGGCAGUUUGACUGGGGCGGUCGCCUCCUAAAAGGUAACGGAGGCGCUCAAAGGUUCCCUCAGAAUGGUUGGAAAUCAUUCAUAGAGUGUAAAGGCAUAAGGGAGCUUGACUGCGAGACCUACAAGUCGAGCAGGGUCGAAAGACGGACUUAGUGAUCCGGUGGUUCCGCAUGGAAGGGCCAUCGCUCAACGGAUAAAAGCUACCCCGGGGAUAACAGGCUUAUCUCCCCCAAGAGUUCACAUCGACGGGGAGGUUUGGCACCUCGAUGUCGGCUCAUCGCAUCCUGGGGCUGUAGUCGGUCCCAAGGGUUGGGCUGUUCGCCCAUUAAAGCGGUACGCGAGCUGGGUUCAGAACGUCGUGAGACAGUUCGGUCCCUAUCCGUCGUGGGCGUAGGAAAUUUGAGAGGAGCUGUCCUUAGUACGAGAGGACCGGGAUGGACAUACCUCUGGUGUACCAGUUGUCGUGCCAACGGCAUAGCUGGGUAGCUAUGUGUGGACGGGAUAAGUGCUGAAAGCAUCUAAGCAUGAAGCCCCCCUCAAGAUGAGAUUUCCCAACUUCGGUUAUAAGAUCCCUCAAAGAUGAUGAGGUUAAUAGGUUCGAGGUGGAAGCAUGGUGACAUGUGGAGCUGACGAAUACUAAUCGAUCGAAGACUUAAUCAA